rnacentral:lncRNA from 1 species
UCAAUCUAGGGAUAAAACGUUGUCUUGGGAUGGCAUCACUGCUGAGCCAGUGUAGCGAGCGAUAGUUGAAAUCUGUAGUUGACAUGAUUGUCCAUGGCUAGUCGCUCGACUCUGCUUUCCUACUGUAUGCGAAGGUGUCACCAUGGGUCAUCAAGAAUGCUUCUCAAAUCUGGCGAGGCUUCGCCAAGAGCUGUAUGCAGACCCUGAAACGGUCUCUGUUGGGCUCCACUACAUGGACGUCGUCAAGGUUCUUGUGGACGAUCGCCAGGACGAAGGCAGUCAACUCGCACUGUUGUUGAUGCUUCAGGAGGCAGGAAGCAGCUAUCAGUCAGAAAAAACAGCCUACGAUGCCGUAGAGUCGCUUAAAAGUGCAUUUGGUGCUUUGAGAAGAACGACUAGGUAUAAUGUCCAAAGCCAGACUUAAUCACCAUGACGACCAUCAUUCUGCCUCAUCAGUCUGCAGAUUACACUCAGCUGUAUGAACUGGUGGAACUUCUUCUUGAGAAUGUUGUCCAAGUGAAGCGAAACCACCCCUUGGUUCGAGCAGCUGGCUGCAGCUGUCUCAGGGAAAUCGAGAUUUUUCAUGAGCAUUGACUA